rnacentral:lncRNA from 1 species
GACCCAAAAAAACAGUCUCUCUCUUUCUUCAUUUUCCUUUUUUAAUAUUUUUUAUAUUCUCCAUGGUACAAUCAUUGGAAGACUCGUCAUCAAGAACCAGAUCGCAGAGUACAACUCUGCACAGAAACUUCCAACGUUCCUUAUCCCCUUCAGGUCGAUUCUGCUCCUCGUCAAUCUCUAAUUCCUCUACACCUUACGUGUCGACCAGGGCCGAAUCAUUCAUGACCCGGCCUUCUAGCCCGACUCGAGUCAAUAUCCGCAGAUCCGUUUCCCCUUCUCCUACCGUAAGGUUCUCUACCUCACACAGCCACUCAAUCGCAUCUUCACAUAAUCGGCAUGGAAAUCAGGGUGCCCAUGCCCGGCUGUUUAAUUCAUGUCCAAAGAAGACGUGUAUGUGUUCCCCGACGACGCACCCGGGGUCCUUCCGGUGCAGUCUACACAAGAACAACAAUAGAAGCCGUGGCUACGCUAGUGAUAGCCAGACUUCUUUUCGGUCGAGCCACCAUUUAAAUAUGCGGAGAUCGGCGAUGACGAAUUCUCUGGUUAGAAUCGGAACUGUCGAAGGAGAUUUAGUGAAGAGAGCUCUAGCGGCUUUGAUUCGACCUUCGUCACAUCAUCUGCGCCGCCGUGACGAUUUCCAGCCGCGACCGAGCCGACUCUCGAUCAUGUCCAAAGCUCAAGAUUGAAUUCUAUGUUUCGGCGCGUGUUUUGUAUAGUUCCCAGUAUGGUUGAGCCGCGGUUUUGAAGAAGUUGCCAUUUGAAUGAGUGAUUUUACUUUCAUGAUUUCUCUUUUAUUAAUUUUUUNAAAAAAAAAUGUUAACAACAGUAAUCAGAAUAUCUGAAUUAGUCAGUAAACUAGAAAUUAAUUGAAAAUAAGAACUAAUAGAAGCAAACGCACCGUUAUCAUUUUUCGAGUUGAUUUCUUUCUUCUUCUUCUUUUUAUUUUAUUUUAUUUUUCUAAAUUCUGGAUUGUGUUGUGAAUUGAAUGUCGUUUUGCGAUUUUGCAGUGAUUUUUAGAAUUUCAAAUUUGUAGAUAAUCAAUCAAUCCACAUCUGGGAUUUAUGCAUCAGCAUCAGUUGCUACUCAAACAGGUGACUUGGGAUAAUCGUUUUCUUUUCCUUCCUUUUUUUCCAAACAUAGUAUUAUUGAAUUUUCUGCUUUAUUUUGUACGUCCUUUUUGACCUUUAUAUUCAGCCCCUGUUUGAUCCCAAUUUUGUGAAAAUAGAAAUGGAUGAAAUAAUAUAUUUUUUUGAAAAAUAAUUGGUUAAAAGUGAAGGAAAAUUUUUCAAUUUACGUGUAAUAUUAUUUUAAAAAAAUAUUGUGUGGUUGAAAAUAAAAAAUAAAAAAAAAUAUAUAAUGGAAUUGAAAUUAAUUGGAGGCAAAUGGUCUUUAAUUGUAGGUACACCUGGG